AAAGUUUAAAUCUCAAACUUGCAGCUACCUACUAUUAAGACUACACAUGCAAGUAUCCGCACUCCAGUGAGAAUGCCUUCACCCCAUUACAAAUGCAACAGAGCAGGUAUCAGGCUCAACAACGUUAGCCCACCACACCUUGCCCAGCCACAUCCCCACGGAUGCCACAGCAGUGACUAACAUUAGGCAAUGAGCACAUAAAAGCUUGACCUAGCUAAUAUUUUCCUUGGCCGGCAAAUCUCGUGCCAGCAGCCGCGGUUACACGGGAGGCCAAAGAUAGCAUACUAACGGCGUAAAGAGUGACCACAGAUUUUUCCACCUACCACGGAUUCAAAAAUUCUACCUCAGAGAUAAAAUCCUAAGGUACCAAGAACUCCUAACAUCCACAAACAGGCCAUCCUACUCACGAAAACCAGGACACAAACUAGGAUUAGAUACCCUACUAUGCCCGGCCGUAAACAAAAAUGGAAUAAAACAACCCAUUCGCCUGAGAACUACCAGCACGAGCUAAAAACUCAAAAGACUUGACGGUGCUCUACCCUACCUAGAGGAGCCUGUCCUAUAAUCGAUACCCCACGAUCCACCCGACCACUACUAGCACCCCAGCCUAUAUACCGCCGUCGAAAGAAUAUCCUGCAAAGGGCCCAUAAUUAUCCCAACAGCCACAUCACUAAAACGUCAGGCCAAGGCAUAGCUAAUGUAGAGGCAGAGAUGGGCUACAUUUUCUGGCUACAGAACAAACGAAAAAUAGCAUGAAACCUGCUACUCAAAGGUGGAUUUAGCAGUAAGAUGAAAAAGCAUACUCACCUUAACCCAGCACCAGAGCACGUACACACCGCCCGUCACCCUCAUUAACAGCCCCGUACCCAAAUAUAUUCCUACCCAAACCCAUAAAUGAGGUAAGUCGUAACAUGGUAAGUGUACUGGAAAGUGCACUUGGAAAAC
rnacentral:ncRNA from 1 species